rnacentral:misc_RNA from 1 species
CGGGCUUUCAACAUAGACUGACAUGCACACCCUAAUAAAUGCCACUCUGCCUCUCUCGAGACCAGAGUCCAGACACAGCCAUUUCUUUUUCCUUUGUCUGCUCUCUGCAGUGCUUGUAAAUUGUAACAGAGUCACAACUCCACAAAAACCAUGGCAGACGCAGCAGCAUCGCCAGCUUCGAUGUGGGGUUUCAUCACCGGCUGGUUUACACCCGCUUAUCUAUUCUUGUUGCUUAAUCUGGUAAUCGGCACCAUUGCCCUCACCUCCCGUUUCGGUUCCAACAGAAGAAAGCAAGAGCAAGAGCAAAUCCGACCUCUUGCCAGAUCCCCUUCCCUCUUAGAACGAGUCAAGUCCAUCAACUUAUCAUUCUACAACUACCCACGGCCUCACUCAGAAGCGACUAACGACUCGGUACACGACACCGAACCAGAAUAUACACCUGGGGCCGGGGUUCAUCCGGUUCAAAUCGAACGAACCCCUUCAUUCUUAGAACGUGUGAUGUCCAUCAAGUUGUCCUCUUUCUCCAACUUCCCACCACCUCACUCAGAAGGGACAAACGACUCAGUACACGACACCGAACCAGAGUACACACCC